rnacentral:rRNA from 1 species
UACGAAGGGGGCUAGCGUUGUUCGGAAUUACUGGGCGUAAAGGGCGCGUAGGCGGUACUUCAAGUCAGGCGUGAAAGCCCCGGGCUCAACCUGGGAACCGCGCUUGAGACUGGAGAACUAGAGUUCGGGAGAGGAUGGUGGAAUUCCCAGUGUAGAGGUGAAAUUCGUAGAUAUUGGGAAGAACACCGGUGGCGAAGGCGGCGACCUGGUCCUUGACUGACGCUGAGGCGCGAAAGCGUGGGGAGCAAACAGG